rnacentral:rRNA from 1 species
GUUAGGAAUAUUGGACAAUGGGCGCAAGCCUGAUCCAGCCAUGCCGCGUGAGUGAUGAAGGCCUUCGGGUUGUAAAGCUCUUUAGCCGAUGAUUAUAAUGACUGUAGUCGGAAAAUAAGCCCCGGCUAACUUCGUGCCAGCAGCCGCGGUAAUACGAAGGGGGCGAGCGUUAUUCGGAAUCACUGGGCGUAAAGCGUGCGUAGGCGGCUUUACAAGUUGGGAGUGAAAGCCCAGGGCUCAACCCUGGAAUUGCUCUCAAAACUGCAAGGCUCGAAUUCGGGAGAGGAUAGCGGAAUUGUCAGUGUAGCAGUGAAAUGCGUAGAUAUUGACAGGAACACCAGUGGCGUAAGCGGCUAUCUGGACCGAUAUUGACGCUGAGGCACGAAAGCGUGGGGAUCAAACAGGAUUAGAUACCCUGGUAGUCC